GGGGAAUAUUGCACAAUGGGCGAAAGCCUGAUGCAGCGACGCCGCGUGAGCGAAGAAGUAUUUCGGUAUGUAAAGCUCUAUCAGCAGGGAAGAAAAUGACGGUACCUGACUAAGAAGCCCCGGCUAACUACGUGCCAGCAGCCGCGGUAAUACGUAAGGGGCAAGCGUUAUCCGGAUUUACUGGGUGUAAAGGGAGCGUAGACGGAAAGGCAAGUCUGAUGUGAAAAUCCGGGGCUCAACCGCGGAACUGCAUUGGAAACUGUUUUUCUUGAGUGCCGGAGGGGUAAGCGGAAUUCCUAGUGUAGCGGUGAAAUGCGUAGAUAUUAGGAGGAACACCAGUGGCGAAGGCGGCUUACUGGACGGUAACUGACGUUGAGGCUCGAAAGCGUGGGGAGCAAAC
rnacentral:rRNA from 1 species